rnacentral:lncRNA from 1 species
AACCAUGUCAUCUCCCAUGACCAUAGUAAGUGAAGCAUCAACAGUUGAUGACACAUCACUGCACCGGAAGUCGACCGACACGAGUGGUUCAUCGCAGACAUCGAGAAUGCCUUUGAGCUCCUUGUCAGCAGCCUCCCUAAAUGCAGCAUUCACUUCCUCAGCAAAUGUCUUCUUGGUGACUUGAACGACAAGGUCCACGACAGAGACGUUAGGGGUUGGCACACGGAGGGCAAUGCCGUUGAGCUUCCCCUUAAGGCUUGGGAGGACAAGGGCCACGGCCUUAGCAGCACCAGUUGAGGUUGGAACUAUGUUGAGGGCUGCAGCUCGUGCACGUCUAAGGUCCCUGUGGCUCGCAUCAAGAAGCCUUUGGUCACCAGUGUAAGAGUGAGUAGUUGUCAUGGUUCCC